rnacentral:rRNA from 2 species
ACCGGUGGCGAAGGCGGAUCUCUGGGCCAUUACUGACGCUGAGGAGCGAAAGCGUGGGGAGCGAACAGGAUUAGAUACCCUGGUAGUUCACGCCGUAAACGUUGGGAACUAGGUGUUGGCGACAUUCCACGUCGUCGGUGCCCCAGCUAACGCAUUAAGUUCCCCGCCUGGGGAGUACGGCCGCAAGGCUAAAACUCAAAGGAAUUGACGGGGGCCCGCACAAGCAGCGGAGCAUGUGGCUUAAUUUGACGCAACGCGAAGAACCUUACCAAGGCUUGACAUAUUCCGGAAACGGCUAGAGAUAGUCGCCCCCUUGUGGUCGGUAUACAGGUGGUGCAUGGCUGUUGUCAGCUCGUGUCGUGAGAUGUUGGGUUAAGUCCCGCAACGAGCGCAACCCUUGUUCUGUGUUGCCAGCAUGCCCUUCGGGGUGAUGGGGACUCACAGGAGACUGCCGGGGUCAACUCGGAGGAAGGUGGGGACGACGUCAAGUCAUCAUGCCCCUUAUGUCUUGGGCUGCACACGUGCUACAAUGGCCGGUACAAAGAGCUGCGAUGCCGCGAGGCGGAGCGAAUCUCAAAAAACCGGUCUCAGUUCGGAUUGGGGUUUGCAACUCGACCCCAUGAAGUCGGAGUUGCUAGUAAUCGCAGAUC